AUUGCAAGCACUGUAUUACUGACAGAUAAGAACAGACUUUUUAAGGCAAAGGCCUUCUAGUUCCACAGAACAGUGACGUAGAAAGCUCCUUCCCCUCUUAGUUGCCUGGGUUAGAGGCCAAAUGUUUGUGCCCUGAGUUUGAAUCAAGGCUCUCUUACCUGCUUAACUGUAUCAACCUGGGUCAUCUUCAGCAUCUGUAAAACGGGACCGAGGAUACCUCCUAAUAUUGUUGGGAGGAUAAAAUAGGCUCAUGUGCAUAAGAUGCUUCACAUGGCCACCCCGGGGGAAGUAGUCACAAAUGUUAGGACUCAGCAUGAUGAAAACUGAAGCCUGCAGUUCACCAUCACAUCGGAUUUAAGAAAUUCAAAGAAUUCUCCUUCUUUUAAAAGAACACAGCCUUGAGAUGCACACACAAGGGCCACUGUAGGAACUUGCAAGAGUUGAAUGUCUCUGACUGCCCAACAUUCACAGAUGAAUCAAUGAGACACAUUUCUGAGGGCUGCCCGGGGGUCCUGUGUCUCAAUUUGUCUAACACAACUAUCACCAACAGGACGAUGCGACU
rnacentral:sRNA from 1 species